rnacentral:rRNA from 1 species
GAUGAACGCUGGCGGCGUGCGUAAUACAUGCAAGUCGAGCGAACAGACGAGGAGCUUGCUCCUCUGACGUUAGCGGCGGACGGGUGAGUAACACGUGGAUAACCUACCUAUAAGACUGGGAUAACUUCGGGAAACCGGAGCUAAUACCGGAUAAUAUAUUGAACCGCAUGGUUCAAUAGUGAAAGACGGUUUUGCUGUCACUUAUAGAUGGAUCCGCGCCGCAUUAGCUAGUUGGUAAGGUAACGGCUUACCAAGGCAACGAUGCGUAGCCGACCUGAGAGGGUGAUCGGCCACACUGGAACUGAGACACGGUCCAGACUCCUACGGGAGGCAGCAGUAGGGAAUCUUCCGCAAUGGGCGAAAGCCUGACGGAGCAACGCCGCGUGAGUGAUGAAGGUCUUCGGAUCGUAAAACUCUGUUAUUAGGGAAGAACAAAUGUGUAAGUAACUAUGCACGUCUUGACGGUACCUAAUCAGAAAGCCACGGCUAACUACGUG